rnacentral:rRNA from 1 species
GACGGGGGGGGCAAGUGUUCUUCGGAAUGACUGGGCGUAAAGGGCACGUAGGCGGUGAAUCGGGUUGAAAGUGAAAGUCGCCAAAAAGUGGGCGGAAUGCUCUCGAAACCAAUUCACUUGAGUGAGACAGAGGAGAGUGGAAUUUCGUGUGUAGGGGUGAAAUCCGUAAUAUACGAAGGAACGCCAAAAGCGAAGGCAGCUC